AGUCGUUCCAGCAACCCGCUCCAAGGUUUGCGUGCUCCAGAGCGGGUAAGCUUCCCCGCUCCAUUAGGCCGCUCUGAUGCUUGGUCUUUGAUGUGGCUGUGCUCAAGUUGUAGAGUGGCUUAGGCUUCCUGCGCCGAACACCCGCUCUGAAACUCGCUGGGUUUGGAGUGGCUUGAUGAGGUCGCUACCAAGACCCGCUCUAUCACUUCAUCACUUGUGCUCCGUGGUCGAGAUCUGAUGGGAAUGGGAGUGGCUUGAUGAGGUCACUGCCAAGACCCGCUCUGAACCACGCUCCACAUACAGCUACAACUUCAACCCGCUCUGCUACAGCCGCUCCAGCACUUGACAAGAUGUGGUCGAUGACGAUGGGUUGUGUUCUGUUCCCAGAGGCCCAAUUCAAGGGAAUUUCGUUAAAUUGACUAUUUGUUAAUAGCUGGUUACCGCUAAAUUAUUUAUCUACCAGAAUCAUACAUAUCUGUUUUUUUGCCUCUCAGAUGGAUUUAACUUCUUAUAAUCAGAACGAUGAGGUUCAAGAAGAAGAAGCUUCAGAGCCUUCUCUUUCUGGAAAGAGAAGGAAGAAAACUGAAAGACCAAGCUCUGCUCUUCCACCAAACUCAAGGUAAUUAAUUGCUCAUAGAGCAAAGAUGAUAUGGGCAUUCUUUGUCCUACAAGAAGAUGAUCGUGGGCAAUACAAUUGCUGUUUCUGUAAAUUUGCAGGAACUGAAAGUAGCACUGUGUGUAUUUUGGUUCCUUUUUGUAUUUAAUUCAGCUUGAGUUAUAUGUGUUUAAUACUUUCAGUGCAAGUUGUUUUCUCUUCCCUGUUAUUGUUGUAUGAUGUGAUCAUCUUUGAUCAAUAAGUUAGUACAACGUGAGUUCGAGACUUUUUGAAAGUGGUGUAAUAUGAUUUGUUUGGAACUUUGAACAGUUGAGUACAAUUUUUUUCUAACAAA